rnacentral:rRNA from 1 species
GAUGAACGCUGGCGGCGUGCCUAAUGCAUGCAAGUCGAGCGACGCAUACCGGAGGGGUAACCCACUGGUAUGACGGAGCGGCGAACGGGUGAGUAACACGUGAGCAACCUGCCCCACAGACCGGGAUAGCCCAGGGAAACCUGGAUUAAUACCGGAUAUCCUCUCGAGACCUCAUGGUCAUGAGAGGAAAUGCCUUUGUGCUGUGGGAUGGGCUCGCGGCUUAUCAGCUAGUUGGUGGGGUAACGGCCUACCAAGGCAUCGACGAGUAGCUGGUCUGAGAGGACGAUCAGCCACACUGGAACUGAGACACGGUCCAGACUCCUACGGGAGGCAGCAGCAGGGAAUCUUGCGCAAUGGGCGAAAGCCUGACGCAGCAACGCCGCGUGGGGGAUGAAGGCCUUCGGGUUGUAAACCCCUUUCAGGAGGGAAGAAAUUGACGGUACCUCCAAAAGAAGCACCGGCCAACUACGUGCCAGCAGCCGCAGUAAAAC